rnacentral:lncRNA from 1 species
UGGGAGGGUCCCAUCCUGAGAAAUGGCACACAUGGAGGGAUCAAUACAUUUUUAGCCAAGAACUUCAAAUUCUUUCAGAAAACCUAAUCCUAAUUUUCCUCUGUCUAUGUAUGGUUUUUUUUUUUCGGGGUCUUACACACAUGCUGGGUGAACCCUCUAAAGUUGAUUGAUUUACUUAUCUAGGGAUGGGCAUAGAAUGCUAUGGUGCCUAUGUCGAGGUCAGAAGACAAUUUGAAGGUUUCAGUUCUCUCUCCAUGAAGGUCCUGAGAUUUGAACUCAGGUCAAUAGGAUUAACAACAAUCACCUUUAGGCCCUGAGCCCCCUUGGCAACCC